GAUGAACGCUGGCGGCGUGCCUAAUACAUGCAAGUCGAGCGAACAGACGAGGAGCUUGCUCCUCUGACGUUAGCGGCGGACGGGUGAGUAACACGUGGAUAACCUACCUAUAAGACUGUGAUAACUUCGGGAAACCGGAGCUAAUACCGGAUAAUAUAUUGAACCGCAUGGUUCAAUAGUGAAAGACGGUUUUGCUGUCACUUAUAGAUGGAUCCGCGCCGCAUUAGCUAGUUGGUAAGGUAACGGCUUACCAAGGCAACGAUGCGUAGCCGACCUGAGAGGGUGAUCGGCCACACUGGAACUGAGACACGGUCCAGACGCCUACGGGAGGCAGCAGUAGGGAAUCUUCCGCAAUGGGCGAAAGCCUGACGGAGCAACGCCGCGUGAGUGAUGAAGGUCUUCGGAUCGUAAAACUCUGUUAUUAGGGAAGAACAAAUGUGUAAGUAACUAUGCACGUCUUGACGGUACCUAAUCAGAAAGCCACGGCUAACUACGUG
rnacentral:rRNA from 1 species